rnacentral:rRNA from 1 species
GAUGAACGCUGGCGGCGUGCCUAAUACAUGCAAGUCGAGCGGACAGACGAGGUGCUUGCUCCUCUGACGUUAGCGGCGGGAGGGUGAGUAAAAUGUGGAUAACCUACCUAUAAGACUGGGAUAACUUCGGGAAACCGGUGCUAAAACCGGCUAAUAUAUUGAACCGCAUGGUUCAAUAGUGAAAGGCGGUUUUGCUGUCACUUAUACAUGGAUCCGCGCCGCAUUAGCUAGUUGGUAAGGUAACGGCUUACCAAGGCAACGAUGCGUAGCCGACCUGAGAGGGUGAUCGGCCACACUGGGACUGAGACACGGUCCAGACUCCUACGGGAGGCAGCAGUAGGGAAUCUUGCGCAAUGGGCGAAAGCCUGACGGAGCAACGCCGCGUGAGUGAUGAAGGUCUUCGGAUCGUAAAACUCUGUUAUUAGGGAAGAACAAAUGUGUAAGUAACUAUGCACGUCUUGACGGUACCUGAACAGAAAGCCACGGCUAACUACGUG